rnacentral:tRNA from 1 species
GCGAGCGUAGCUCAGCCUGGUAGAGCAUCACGUUGCCAACGUGAGUGUCGAGGGUUCGAAUCCCUUCGCUCGCUCCA